UCUAAAAUGAGUCUCUCGGGGGAGAGAGAGGAGGGGGGCCCCUGCCUCUAAAAUGAGUCUCUUUGGGGAAAAUGACACCAAAACUAAGAGCCCAAUCAAGCAGGAGAGACCAGCCUCCCCUGUACCCAGCUGUGUGUCCAUGAAGAGUGACCGGUCUAUGGUUCCACCUCUACAGUUUAGAGAGGGAGUCUUUUCUAGUGAACAAAGAAUCUCCAACCAAACUCUGAGAUCAGUCUCUCCAGUAC